rnacentral:lncRNA from 1 species
UUUUUUAAAUGCAUUUAUUUUCUCAUGUAGAUGUAUUUUUGUUGGGAUUUGUUUUUAAGGGUAAUUUUUUGAUGUUUUUCUUCUUUAUCUUUUUUUCUCUGUCAGGAACUCAUUUUGAGUGUAAAUACUACAAUGUGAUGAGUUGUUGUUGUAAAAACUACUGAACUCCACGGAAAACACAUGGCAAAAUCAAAAGUUCAAACAAAUAAAAACAACUGUAUACAUUAGCAUUCCUUUAUGCAGAAAAAUAAUAAUCACAGGCAGUGCUCCAUAAUUUAUAUAUCAAGU